GAUUAACGCUGGCGGCGUGCCUAACACAUGCAAGUCGAGCGGCAGCGAGUUUUACACUGAAUUCUGGAAGCCUCUAGUUGAAAGAGAAGAUUUAUUCAAGAAUUUUGUGUAAAAUGUCGGCGAGCGGCGGACGGCUGAGUAACGCGUGGGAACGUACCCCAAAGUGAGGGAUAACGCAUCGAAAGGUGUGCUAAUACCGCAUAUGGUCUUCGGAUUAAAGCCUUCGGGCGCUUUGGGAACGGCCUGCGUAAGAUUAGAUAGUUGGUGGGGUAAUGGCCUACCAAGUCGACGAUCUUUAACUGGUUUGAGAGGAUGAUCAGUCAGACUGGAACUGAGACACGGUCCAGACUCCUACGGGAGGCAGCAGUGAGGAAUCUUCCACAAUGGGCGAAAGCCUGAUGGAGCAACGCCGCGUGCAGGAUGAAGGCCUUCGGGUUGUAAACUGCUUUUAUAAGUGAGGAUUAUGACAGUAACUUAUGAAUAAGGAUCGGCUAACUACGUG
rnacentral:rRNA from 1 species